UACGGAGGGGGCUAGCGUUGUUCGGAUUUACUGGGCGUAAAGCGUGCGCAGGCGGUGAUGUAAGACAGAUGUGAAAUCCCCGGGCUCAACCUGGGAACUGCAUUUGUGACUGCAUCGCUGGAGUGCGGCAGAGGGGGAUGGAAUUCCGCGUGUAGCAGUGAAAUGCGUAGAUAUGCGGAGGAACACCGAUGGCGAAGGCAAUCCCCUGGGCCUGCACUGACGCUCAUGCACGAAAGCGUGGGGAGCAAACAGG
rnacentral:rRNA from 1 species